AUGAAGGGAUGCAUGCUCUUCAUCUUGCAGGCACCUGAGCUAUUUACACAAGGAGGGGACCCAGCCUUCUUCACGGCUCGCGGCAGUGUCUCCCAUUUAUUCGUUCGUGCGACAAGGAGGGGACUCGCCCUUCUUCACGUCUCGUGCAACAAGGACCAGCCUCUGGCUAUACUAUUGAUUCGUGUGCAUGUGCUAAAAAGGGUGAUCGACGCGGACUACCGCAGCCUUGUGGGCGUCGUGCUCUUCAACCACUCGGAGGUGGACUUCACCGUGAAGCCCGACGACCGCGUCGCACAGAUGAUCGUCCAGGUGAUCGUAACGCCGGAGGUCGCCGAGGUGGAGGACCUUGAUACCAUCAUUUGGGGGGAGAAAGGAUUGGGGUCCACCAGCAUCUGA
rnacentral:rRNA from 1 species